GGCCAGAUUGUCAUAAUUAUGAGCCACGGUUAAGCUUGGUGCUUCCUCUUUGUUUCUUUUGUUUUCUUUGUUGUUGAAGAAUAAUGGAUAGUUUCUAAAUACUGAGAAGUAACUCUGUGGAAUAAAUGAGAGAUUGAUUUAUGAGUUAUUGAUUACAUAAUUAGAAUAUUGAGUAAUUGAAUUAUAUGAGAAGUUAUUGGAAGAUUGAUUAUGCAUGGAAGAUUAUGAUUGUUGUUUAUUGAGAGUUGUGUGUGUGUGUUUUGACAGAGGAAGUUUGUGAUUACAAGAAUUCUGUGAAUUCAGAUUGGUUUGAGUGAAGUUUGUUAUUCUUAGUGUUGGAUGGAAUUUAUUGAGUUUGAGCGGUCUUUUGAAAGUGUAGGGUUACACAUUGUGGUUAUCAAUUGAUAUAGGAGUAUUGUUAUUG
rnacentral:lncRNA from 1 species